rnacentral:rRNA from 1 species
UACGUAGGGGGCAAGCGUUGUCCGGAAUCAUUGGGCGUAAAGAGCGUGUAGGCGGCUCGGUAAGUCCGCUGUAAAGGUCCAGGGCUCAACCCUGGAAAGCCGGUGGAAACUGUCGAGCUAGAGUCCGGAAGAGGCGAGUGGAAUUCCUGGUGUAGCGGUGAAAUGCGCAGAUAUCAGGAGGAACACCAAUGGCGAAGGCAGCUCGCUGGGACGGUACUGACGCUGAGACGCGAAAGCGUGGGGAGCAAACAGG